UAGGGAAUCUUCGGCAAUGGGGGCAACCCUGACCGAGCAACGCCGCGUGAGUGAAGAAGGUUUUCGGAUCGUAAAGCUCUGUUGUAAGAGAAGAACGUGUGUGAGAGUGGAAAGUUCACACAGUGACGGUAACUUACCAGAAAGGGACGGCUAACUACGUGCCAGCAGCCGCGGUAAUACGUAGGUCCAGAGCGUUGUCCGGAUUUAUUGGGCGUAAAGCGAGCGCAGGCGGUUUAAUAAGUCUGAAGUUAAAGGCAGUGGCUUAACCAUUGUUCGCUUUGGAAACUGUUAAACUUGAGUGCAGAAGGGGAGAGUGGAAUUCCAUGUGUAGCGGUGAAAUGCGUUGAUAUAUGGAGGAACACCGGUGGCGAAAGCGGCUCUCUGGUCUGUAACUGACGCUGAGGCUCGAAAGCGUGGGGAGCAAACAGG
rnacentral:rRNA from 1 species